CCUACGGGAGGCAGCAGUGAGGAAUAUUGGUCAAUGGACGAGAGUCUGAACCAGCCAAGUAGCGUGAAGGAUGACUGCCCUAUGGGUUGUAAACUUCUUUUAUAUGGGAAUAAAAUGUUCCACGUGUGGGAUUUUGUAUGUACCAUAUGAAUAAGGAUCGUCUAACUCCGUGCCAGCCGCCGCGGUAAUACGGAGGAACCGAGCGUUAUCCGUAUUUAGUGGGUUUAACGGGAGCGUAGGUGGAUUGUUAAGUCAGUUGUGAAAGUUUGCGGCUCAACCGUAAAAUUGCAGUUGAAACUGGCAGUCUUGAGUACAGUAGAGGUGGGCGGAAUUCGUGGUGUAGCGGUGAAAUGCUUAGAGAUCACGAAGAACUCCGAUUGCGAAGGCAGCUCACUGGACUGCAACUGACACUGAGGCUCGAAAGUGUGGGUAGCAAACAGGAUUAGAUACCCCAGUAGUC
rnacentral:rRNA from 1 species